CCCAGCGUCGCCAUGGUGCCUGGCGUCCCAGCUCCCAGCCGCCUGCCAUGGUGCCCGGGCAGGCGGCCGCCCCUGGCCCUCGACGCUGCUGUCACGCUCUCUCCGCCUUGCCCCUGCUCCCGGCCUGUGCCUGCUGCCAUGCUGCCCAUGUCUUGCCCUGCCUGUGGAGCAGGGCUGGCUCCUGCUUUGGUUGCAUGAGACCUGCCCCCAGCAUCACCAUCAUAGCCACCAACACUCAUCUGGGCCCUGCUCGAUGCCCAGCUGCUGGGUUUCUCACUUGGGGAAGGUGCUAUGUCCAUCCUGGGUGCCUUGUCCAGCCCUGCUCCCCCUGGACGGACCCUCACCCCUGCCCUGGGCCGUGCUUCCAUACGGGAGGGUCUGGAGGUGGCUGUCCCUACUUCCCCACUCCCUCCUCUGCCCAGCACAGUGCCCAUGCCUGCCUUGUGGCUGCUGGCUGUCACCGACGGGGUGGUGCGGUCCCCCUUGGUAGCAGCAGGGCGGAUGCUGGCCCCCUUGGCUGGGACAGUAAUAGUGGCCUCCAUGUCAUCCCAGUGGUGGGGAGUCAUGGUAGCCACAUGGUCUGGCUUCCCCUUGGACUUCUGCCCCUCUCCUCUCACCUCAUCAUCAUCUUUCCCAUGAAUUCUGGCCACUGUGGGGCUGGUAAUAUCACCACUUGUGACUGUCCAGGCGACAGGGGUUACCAGUCCUCUAUCAACACCAAUGGUGGUGGCACCUUCCUCAUCCUCUCCAGUGAGAUGGCCAUCCCUGAGGCUGCUGGUAACGCUGUCCCCACGGGUUGGGGUGGCUCUGAUGGCCAUUCUUUCAGGCUGCCUGUGGGCAGGGAUGCUGUCAUCUUCAUCACCACUGGGUGCCACAGUGACGUCCAGCUUGCGGAGGGGCCUGCUGCUUCCCACAGAGGGGAUGCUGUCAUUCUCCCUACCCACUGUGACACCAGCCUGGGUAGUUUCCUGCUCCCCCACAUGGAUGUUGGCCCUCCCAAUGAAGAUGUUAACCUCGUCAUCCUUGCCUGGAGAGAACUGGGUGAAGCCGUUGGCCCUGUCUGUGCUGCCCAGGCUCCCAUGGGUGACGGUGACACUGCCUGAAUUGG
rnacentral:lncRNA from 1 species